GAUGAACGCUAGCUACAGGCUUAACACAUGCAAGUCGCGGGGCAGCAUGGGGGUUGCUUGCAAUCCCCGAUGGCUACCGGCGCACGGGUGAGUAACGCGUAUCCAACCUGCCCUUCACCACGGGAUAACCCGGCGAAAGUCGGACUAAUACCGUAUGUUGUCCAUUGACGGCAUCCGAUUUGGACGAAAGGCUUGGCGGUGAGGGAUGGGGAUGCGUCCGAUUAGCCAGACGGCGGGGUAACGGCCCACCGUGGCUACGAUCGGUAGGGGUUCUGAGAGGAAGGUCCCCCACACUGGAACUGAGGCACGGUCCAGACUCCUACGGGAGGCAGCAGUGAGGAAUAUUGGUCAAUGGGCGUAAGCCUGAACCAGCCAAGUAGCGUGCAGGAUGACGGCCCUAUGGGUUGUAAACUGCUUUUAUGCGGGGAUAAAGUGGCACACGUGUGGGCUUUUGCAGGUACCGCAUGAAUAAGGACCGGCUAAUUCCGUG
rnacentral:rRNA from 1 species